rnacentral:misc_RNA from 1 species
AAGUCGUAACAAGGUUUCCGUAGGUGAACCUGCGGAAGGAUCAUUAGAGAACCUGGGCCUGCGCUACUUGCGCGGCUCCAACCAAUACACAGUGUGUUAUACUUCUCUUGCUUUGGCUCUGCCAAAGGUUUUUAAACACAGAAAUUUAUUUUCUCUAGAAACUAGUCAAUUUGAAUUUUAAUCUUCAAAACUUUCAACAACGGAUCUCUUGGUUCUC